AUUGAACGCUGGCGGCAGGCCUAACACAUGCAAGUCGAGCGGACGAAGGGAGCUUGCUCCUGGAUUCAGCGGCGGACGGGUGAGUAAUGCCUAGGAAUCUGCCUGGUAGUGGGGGAUAACGUCCGGAAACGGGCGCUAAUACCGCAUACGUCCUGAGGGAGAAAGUGGGGGAUCUUCGGACCUCACGCUAUCAGAUGAGCCUAGGUCGGAUUAGCUAGUUGGUGGGGUAAAGGCCUACCAAGGCGACGAUCCGUAACUGGUCUGAGAGGAUGAUCAGUCACACUGGAACUGAGACACGGUCCAGACUCCUACGGGAGGCAGCAGUGGGGAAUAUUGGACAAAGGGCGAAAGCCUGAUCCAGCCAUGCCGCGUGUGUGAAGAAGGUCUUCGGAUUGUAAAGCACUUUAAGUUGGGAGGAAGGGCAGUAAGUCAAUACCUUGCUGUUUUGACGUUACCAACAGAAUAAGCACCGGCUAACUUCGUG
rnacentral:rRNA from 1 species